ensembl:rRNA 5S_rRNA 5S ribosomal RNA
GCCAACGGCCACAUCACCCUGCAACUCAUCACUGGCAACCCACUGAAGCUAAGCAGGUGUGAGCCUGGUCAGUACCUGGAUGGGAGACCUCCUGGGAAAGCUAAGGUUGCUGCUGGAA